GACGAACGCUGGCGGCGUGCUUAACACAUGCAAGUCGAACGGUGAAGCGCCUUCCUUUUUGGUGGGUGUGGAUGAGUGGCGAACGGGUGAGUAACACGUGAGUAACCUGCCCCCUUCUUCUGGAUAACCGCAUGAAAGUGUGGCUAAUACGGGAUAUUCUGGGUCUGUCGCAUGAUGGGUCUGGGAAAGAUAUUGUUUCGGUGGGGGAUGGGCUCGCGGCCUAUCAGCUUGUUGGUGGGGUGAUGGCCUACCAAGGCGGUGACGGGUAGCCGGCCUGAGAGGGUUGACGGUCACAGUGGGGCUGAGACGCGGCCCAGACUCCUACGGGAGGCAGCAGUGGGGAAUAUUGCACAGUGGGCGCAAGCCUGAUGCAGCGACGCCGCGUGGGGGAUGGAGGCCUUCGGGUUGUGAACCUCUUUCGCCAGUGAAGCAGGCCUGCCUCGUUUGUGGGUGGGUUGACGGUAGCUGGAUAAGAAGCGCCGGCUAACUACGUG
rnacentral:rRNA from 1 species